AACGAACGUUGGCGGCGUGGAUUAGGCAUGCAAGUCGCGGGAAUCCCAGCAAUGGGGGAACCGGCGUAAGGGGCAGUAAUGCGUGGGUACCUACCUUGGGGUCCGGGAUAGCCGUCCGAGAGGGCGGGUAAUACCGGAUGACCUCGAGAGAGCAAAGCUCCGGCGCCCUGAGAGGGGCCCACGUGAUAUUAGCUGGUUGGUGAGGUGACGGCUCACCAAGGCGGAGAUGUCUAGCGGGUGUGAGAGCACGACCCGCGCCACUCGCACUGAGACACUGGCGAGACACCUACGGGUGGCUGCAGUCGAGGAUCUUCGGCAAUGCGCGCAAGCGCGACCGAGCGACGCCGCGUGGGCGAUGAAGGCCUUCGGGUUGUAAAGCCCUGUCGAGGGGGAGAAAAGGGUAAAACUUUGAUCUAUCCCUGGAGGAAGCUCGGGCUAAGUUCGUG
rnacentral:rRNA from 1 species